rnacentral:rRNA from 1 species
GAUGAACGCUGGCGGCGUGCCUAACACAUGCAAGUCGAGCGAUUUACUUCGGUAAAGAGCGGCGGACGGGUGAGUAACGCGUGGGUAACCUGCCCUGUACACACGGAUAACAUACUGAAAGGUAUGCUAAUACGGGAUAACAUAAGAGAGUCGCAUGGCUUUCUUAUCAAAGCUUUUGCGGUACAGGAUGGACCCGCGUCUGAUUAGCUAGUUGGUAAGGUAACGGCUUACCAAGGCGACGAUCAGUAGCCGAACUGAGAGGGUGAUCGGCCACAUUGGAACUGAGACACGGUCCAAACUCCUACGGGAGGCAGCAGUGGGGGAUAUUGCACGAUGGGCGAAAGCCUGAUGCAGCAACGCCGCGUGAGCGAUGAAGGCCUACGGGUCGUAAAGCUCUGUCCUCAAGGAAGAUAAUGACGGUACUUGAGGAGGAAGCCCCGGCUAACUACGUGCCAGCCGCCGCCGUAA